GCAGCAGCCACGGUAAUACGUAGGUCCCGAGCGUUGUCCGGAUUCAUUGGGCGUAAAGGGAGCGCAGGCGGACAUAUAAGUCCAUCUUAAAAGUGCGGGGCUCAACCCCGUGAGGGGAUGGAAACUGCUGAUCUAGAGUAUCGGAGAGGAAAGUGGAAUUCCUAGUGUAGCGGUGAAAUGCGUAGAUAUUAGGAAGAACACCAGUGGCGAAGGCGACUUUCUGGACGAAAACUGACGCUGAGGCGCGAAAGCCAGGGGAGCGAACGGGAUUAGAUACCCGCGUAGUCCCUGUCUCUUAUACA
rnacentral:rRNA from 1 species